rnacentral:lncRNA from 1 species
CCCGGGCGUUGACUGCCCGCGACAGGAGCAGGUUGGGGUGCUAUCUGGGACUGUGUUGCUUGUGGUCGGGGCAUGGGGCGGGUUUGAUGGGGCUCUAUUUGGUGCUGCAACGCCGGUGGCAGGGAUGGGUUGUGGACACUAUCAAGUGUUACACUGCCGGGUUCAGAGGAGUGGUUUGGGGGCGCUCUCAGGGUUACACUGCCUGCAUCAGUCUCUGGGUGUUGUGGGCACAAUCUGGGGGCUACGCUUGUUGGGCGGAGCAGGUUAGGGGUACUAUCGGGGGGCUGCUCUGCUGCUGCCAGCCGUGGGUUUUGGAGGUGGCCACGACAGUGGUGGCCUCUGAGGAAGGGCCCGGGCCGUUCUCCUCUUCCCGGACUCAAGGCUCUAGAGGGUGAACUUCUGCUCGUGUUGGAGUGCGGAGGGCACACAGAGUUUUUGCAGCAAUCCCCUGAGCACCACAGGGCCCACACACCCAGUGUGAUUCCCCGACCCUUGCCCUCUUGCUCUGUGUUGUGGAGACCAUCUGGGAGCCCCAGUCAUGGAGUAGUAGGCACCACGGGGUCUCAGGGCCCUGUGGGUGGAGGAGUCAGGAAUGGGAACUGGUACUUUGUUGGGCAGGACUGGCUGGGUCUGAGUUUCCGCUAUUUUUGCUCCCCAAGGAGCCCCGGGCACUGUGGUGUCUCCAGUCCCCACCCCAGGUCAGGCGGCCAGCUUGGUCCAGGAGGAGAGGCUGGACUUUGGAGGGUGGGUGUGAGUGCCUUCGCUGAGACUGGCCCCUGCCACCCAGUGGCCAGCAUGACAACGUGAGGCUCUGACACUGCCACUUUCUGCAUCCCGUUGUAGAUUUUUCUGGCUUUGCCUGCCCAGCUGCUCCAAGCCAGGCUGGUGAAGGAGGAGUCUGCUGUGGUGAGCUGGAGGUUGGAGCCUGAAGAUGGCACAGCUCUGCAAUUCAUCUGUGGUUGUGGCGGUGACGGUGAUGGAGACUGCAGCUCAACAGGAGCAGGAGGAGGAUACCCAUGGAGGCCAGGAUCAUCACAAGCCUCAGAAAUGCUCCAGUUGGCCAGAUUCCACCGAGGACCCCAUGGAGGAACACCUCAGGGAGAAGAAAAAGGAGGCCCCAUGGAAACUGAAGGAAGUUUCAGGAGUCAAGGAGAACGGUGUAUGUGGGGCAGUCCCUCCCGUGUGGACGAAGAAUCCAGGUGAUGAGGAAUGUGCCGCUGUGUCGCUGGCUUUCCUGCACACAGGCAGCCGGAGUGGAGCUUCCUGUUGUGAUGAGGACCCGGGCUGUGGCGGGAGAAGUGGUUGCUCCAGGGAGGGUGGCCCAGCAGCAGCUCGGUUUGUGCUCUCACCCACCUCCUCCACACAUGCCAGCCCUGUUCCUCAGCACCCAAGGCUGCCAGAGGUCCUUCAGCAGCUCCCAUGGCUGACAGUGACUCUGUUUCCUAGCGACGGUGGCCAGUGA